rnacentral:misc_RNA from 1 species
AGUCGUAACAAGGUUUCCGUAGGUGAACCUGCGGAAGGAUCAUUACCGAGUGAGGGCCCUCUGGGUCCAACCUCCCACCCGUGUUUAUUUUACCUUGUUGCUUCGGCGGGCCCGCCUUAACUGGCCGCCGGGGGGCUUACGCCCCCGGGCCCGCGCCCGCCGAAGACACCCUCGAACUCUGUCUGAAGAUUGAAGUCUGAGUGAAAAUAUAAAUUAUUUAAAACUUUCAACAACGGAUCUCUUGGUUCCGGCAUCGAUGAAGAACGCAGCGAAAUGCGAUACGUAAUGUGAAUUGCAAAUUCAGUGAAUCAUCGAGUCUUUGAACGCACAUUGCGCCCCCUGGUAUUCCGGGGGGCAUGCCUGUCCGAGCGUCAUUGCUGCCCUCAAGCCCGGCUUGUGUGUUGGGCCCCGUCCCCCGAUCUCCGGGGGACGGGCCCGAAAGGCAGCGGCGGCACCGCGUCCGGUCCUCGAGCGUAUGGGGCUUUGUCACCCGCUCUGUAGGCCCGGCCGGCGCUUGCCGAUCAACCCAAAUUUUUAUCCAGGUUGACCUCGGAUCAGGUAGGGAUACCCGCUGAACUUAAGCAUAUCAAUAA